UCCUCAAUUCGCGUACUCUCUCGCCGGUCAGAGAUUCGAGAGAGCACGCGAAAUGAGGAGA
rnacentral:pre_miRNA from 1 species